UUCCUGAACUCAGUCUCGUAAAUUGUAUAAGACUUCUCCUUUUCUAUCAAGGUCGAUAGAUUCCAUCUAGAUGCAUCCUACUUUUAACAGCAAAUCUAAACCCACCAUAGCCAAUUACAUAGCAAGGAUCCGAAUGACUAGGGACCAAGUGAACGUGCAGUCAAAUUAUAGUAGUCUCACUGUAAAUAGCCGAUACACC
rnacentral:lncRNA from 1 species